CUUGUAGGUGGUGGAUCAAGUCGGAUGUGAAAUCUCCGGGCUUAACCCGGAGAUUGCAUUCGAAACUGAUCCGCUAGAGUACCGGAGAGGGAAACGGAAUUCCUGGUGUAGGGGUGAAAUCUGUAGAUAUCAGGAAGAACACCGGUGGCGAAGGCGGUUUCCUGGCCGGAUACUGACACUGAGGAGCGAAAGCUAGGGGAGCAAACA
rnacentral:rRNA from 1 species